CCGAUGGCGGGGUGUGGGGGUGGGAGAAACGUAGGGGGGAGGGGUUGUGCGGAGUGAUUGGGGGUAAAGGGCGCGUGGGGGGCUCGGUAAGUCGGGUGUGAAACCUCCAGGCUCAACCUGGAGACGCCACCCGAUACGGCCGUGACUAGAGUCCAGUAGGGGAGCGUGGAAUUCCUGGUGUAGCGGUGAAAUGCGCAGAUAUCAGGAGGAACACCAGCGGCGAAGGCGGCGCUCUGGGCUGGCACUGACACUGAGGAGCGAAAGCGUGGGGAGCGAACAGGAUUAGAUACCCGUGUAGUC
rnacentral:rRNA from 1 species